rnacentral:rRNA from 1 species
AGUGAACGCUGGCGGUAGGCCUAACACAUGCAAGUCGAACGGCAGCACAGGAGAGCUUGCUCUCUGGGUGGCGAGUGGCGGACGGGUGAGGAAUACAUCGGAAUCUACCUUUUCGUGGGGGAUAACGUAGGGAAACUUACGCUAAUACCGCAUACGACCUACGGGUGAAAGUGGGGGACCGCAAGGCCUCACGCGAUUAGAUGAGCCGAUGUCCGAUUAGCUAGUUGGCGGGGUAAUGGCCCACCAAGGCGACGAUCGGUAGCUGGUCUGAGAGGAUGAUAAGGCACACUGGAACUGGGACACGGUCCAGACUCCUACGGGAGGCAGCAGUGGGGAAUAUUGGACAAUGGGCGCAAGCCUGAUCCAGCCAUACCGCGUGGGUGAAGAAGGCCUUCGGGUUGUAAAGCCCUUUUGUUGGGAAAGAAAUCCUGUCGAUUAAUACUCGGUGGGGAUGACGGUACCCAAAGAAUAAGCACCGGCUAACUUCGUGCCAGCCGCCGCAGUAAUAC